UCGGAUCCAAUUCGACGUAGGCCAGCAGCUACAGCUCCAAUUCGACCCCUAGCCUGGGAACCUCUAUAUGCCAUGAGAGUGGCCCAAGAAAAUGGAUGAAUAUUGUCUUUUGAUUAUAUUGUGUACAUCAGAACUUGAUUUUAAUUAGAGACGUAUUUUGCACAGUACACAGUGUACAAGGCUUAGAUAAAACACUACAAAAACAAUAUCUGAAAACAGUAUUUAACAGACUUUUUUCAAACUGAGGUGAAGAUCAGGCUUCCAUUGAUUUUUAACAGGGUUUGUAUUGUGAUAAAUACUUAGCUGUUCUAAAUUAUAAUUCAAGGCUAAAAAGUAUAAACAGCCUUCAGAAAAUGUACUUUUUAGGAAUUCCUGCUGUGGUGCAGUGGGUUAAGAAUCCAGCAUUGCUGCAGCUGUGGCAUAGAUCGCAGCUGUGGCUGGGAUUUGAUCCUUGGCCUGGGAAUUCCAUAUGCCGUGGGUGUGGCUGAAAAAGAGGGAGAGAGAGAGAGAAAAUGUACUUCUAACCAGAAUUGUACAAUUGAUUAAUUUGGCUACAUAAAAAUUAUCUUACCUUUUUAUUUAGUCAUUCUGUUGUAAGGUAUUCAAUAUACAUAAUAUAUUUUUAAAUAUCAUGCCAUUGAGUCUUUGAAGAAAGUUCCAGUCCUGUGUGUAACUGAAGUUGAACAUGAAAUCAAUCUUUGCAAUGUUAUUGUACCACAGAAAUGUGGAACUGAAAGAAAUGACUUCACUGCCGUUUAAUCUUCUGAAAAACUUUAACAAAGCAAAUGGCACACACAAGGUAUACAAAAAUAGAUGUACAAAAAAUGCAACAAAAUAUUUUUAUGGUCAUUAUUAUUUACAUUAUUCAUAUUUACUAUUGAUAGAAUUCAAAACUGUAGGGUCUUUUUGGUUUUUUGAUUUGGGGGGUUUUUUGUUUGUUUAUUUUACAACUAGUGUAUAUAACGGAUAUAUCUUAUAGUGAAGACUUUCCUGUAGCGGAUACGUUGAAUUAUUAGAAAUAACUCCCCCAUUUUCUGAGCCUUUAUGAAGAAAACGCUUUUUGUUUUGUAAACUUUCAUAAGAGAGUCUGCUCUAGUGUUUAAGAUUUCUUAGUAACCUAAAAGUGGAACUUGAGUACAGGAUUCCUAGAAAAAAAUUGUAACAUUGGCUAAUGAAGAACAGUAAGUUUUAUCUUCCACUGUUCAUGAAAACAAAAGGUAUAAGAGUAAUACCUAGUGGAAACUAGUCAGUUGGCUAAAGAAAACUCAUCAGGGAAGGUUGAAAAUAUUACUCCUGUGCACAAUGUGAUUAACUGUCAUCUUUCCUCUUAGCAUCCUUUGAUAUGUGUUAAAAAAAAAAAUCACUCUGGCAACCUUGAGAAGAGUGGAUUGGAGAGAAUCAAAACUAGUGUCCACUCCAGAUCAACUUAGAUGCAAGUUAAUCUACACAUUUUGACCUUUGAUGUCAACUUCAAAAGAACACUGUACAGUCAAGAAUUCUUCCUAGUAACUCCUAAUUCGGAGUUCAACCAAUGUUGUUCAACCUUCCAAAUUGUAGAAGCAGAAGGAAUAUGUCCAACUCUCUUUGAGGCCAUCAGUAUCCUCAUACCAAAACCAUGCAAAGGUAUUAUAAGAAAACUAUAGACUAAUAUCUCGUAAACAUUGAUAUAAACAUUUUCAACAAAAUAUUAGUAAUUUGAAUUUUACAAGCAUAAAAAUUAUACAUCAAGUGAGAUUUAUUCCGGAUAUGCAAGCCUAUUCUGACAUUCAGAAGCCAAUUAAUGUAAUCUAUCACAUCAACAGACUAAAUCACACGAUCAUAUCAGAUGGAGAAAAAGCAUUUGACAGAGCCAUUUAUUAGGAUAACUCAGCAAACUUGGAAUAGAGGAGAAAGUCCUCAACUUGAUAAAGAACAAAAGCCCUAUAACUAACAGCAUACUAAGUUGUGAGAAACUGGAAGCUUUCUCAUUAAAAUCAGGAAUAAAGCAAUGGUGUCUCUUCUAGCUUCUUUUUAAAGUUGUAAUGGAAGUGGUAGUUAAUAACUCAAGGAAGACGGGAAGAAAGAAAACUUAAUUGGAGUUCUCUGGUGGCUCAGCCUGUUAAGGAUCUGCAUUGUCACUGCUGUGUCUUGUAUCACAGCUGUGGCACAGGUUUAAUGCCUGGCCCUGGAACUUCCAGAUACCAUGGUCUCAGCAAAAGAAAAAAAGAAAGAAAGAAAAAACCUCUUGUUUGCAUAUGAUGAUCAUCUACGUAGAAAGUCCAAAAGAACUGAUUUAAAAACUCCUGGAACUGUUAAAGUAAUUAUAGCAAAGAUGCAAACUUCCAGGUUCAUAUACAAAAGUCAAUUGUUUUCCUAUAUACCAGCAAAGAACAAUUGGAAUUUGAAAUUAAAAACAAUACUAUUUACCUUAACAUCCACAAAAUAAAAUACCUUGAUAUAUGCACAAGACCUACAUGAGGAAAUAUACAAUCUUUGAUGAGAGAACCCAAAAACUAAGUAAAUGGAGAGAUUUUUAUUCCAUGCUCUUGGAUAGAAAGUCAAUGUUGUCAAGAUGUCAGUUCUUCCAAACUUGAUCUAUAGAUUCAAGGCAAUCCAAUCAAAAUCUCAAAGUUAUUUUGUAGAUAUUAGCAAACUGAUUCUAAAUUUUAUAUAAAAAGCUAAAAGACCCAGAAUAGAUGACACAAUAUUGAAACAGAAAGACAAAUUUGAAGGACUAACACUACUUGACGUCGAGACACAUAUAUAUCUACAUUGUGGUACAAAUAUCCCCUGCUAUCCAAAAGUAGAACAAUCCUAUGAAACCUUUCAUAAGAUGAAAUGGUGUAAAAUGAAGCAAUUAACUUAGGACAUCUUGCUAACAAAAGCACGAAAUAAAUUGAGAUAAAGCAGAGAUGCUCACAGACACAGUUCAAAGCUAUGGUGGCUUGAUGCUGAGUGUAGUUUUCAGGAAGGGAGCUUGGCAGUUCCACUCUGGCUCCUUGGGGUGCAUGCUGCUUCUAUAACAGCUCACUGCAAAGCCAACACUGGACUUCAUUUUUACUUUUCACUUUUUUUAGUAAAAGUAAAAAUCCUCUUUGGAUUUCUUUCAGUUAGGGAAAACAAAUACUAAUGUAGGUCUGUCAUAAAAGUAAAAUGUAGAGCAAAUGUUCAAAAAGUGGGGAAUACAUGUAUUAGUGAAAGAAUAGACAAAUCAAUGGAACAGAAUAGAGACCUCAGAAAUAGACCCCCCACAAAUAUAGUCAACUCAUUUUUGACAAAGGAGCAAAGGCAAUUCAAUAGAUGGAAAAAAAUAUAGUAUUUUCAACAAGUGGUGCUGGAAUAACUGGACACCAGGUGCAAAAAAAAAAAAAGAAACCAUACCAAAGGCAUGAUCCAUGAAAGAAAUAAAAGUAGGACUUAAUUAAAAUUAAAAAUUUCCGCUCUGUGAAAGAUUCUGCAAAGAGAAUGACAAGACAAGCAACAAACUGGGAGAAAAUAUUUACAGAAGAGUAUUUGAUAAAGAACUAUUACCCAAAAUAGACAAAGAGCUCUUAAAACUCAACAUAAAAAUAACAACCUAAUUAAAAACUGGUGAAAAGAGCCAAACAGACACCUGAGAAAAUAUUCAGAUAGUAAAUAAGUGUAUGAAAAAAUAUUCAACAU